AUUAAACGCUGGCGGAAUGCUUUACACAUGCAAGUCGAACGGCAGCACGGACUUCGGUCUGGUGGCGAGUGGCGAACGGGUGAGUAAUGUAUCGGAACGUGCCCAGUCGUGGGGGAUAACGUAGUGAAAAUUACGCUAAUACCGCAUACGAUCUAUGGAUGAAAGCGGGGGAUCGCAAGACCUCGCGCGAUUGGAGCGGCCGAUAUCAGAUUAGGUAGUUGGUGGGGUAAAGGCCCACAAAGCCAACGAUCUGUAGCUGGUCUGAGAGGAAGACCAGCCACACUGGAACUGAGACACGGUCCAGACUCCUACGGGAGGCAGCAGUGGGGAAUUUUGGACAAUGGGCGAAAGCCUGAUCCAGCCAUUCCGCGUGCAGGAUGAAGGCCCUCGGGUUGUAAACUGCUUUUGUACAGAACGAAAAGGCUCUGGUUAAUACCUGGGGCUCAUGACGGUACCGUAAGAAUAAGCACCGGCUAACUACGUGCCAGCCGCCGCAGUAA
rnacentral:rRNA from 1 species